GUGUAUUGCAUAAUUUUUGUAGAGAUUGGAUUUCAUGAAAAGACACCAAAUGACUCCUCCCAUCAUAUUAUGAUGUUCCCCAAGUUUUGGACUCAACCCGAUAUCGAUUGAUCCAUGAAAUUAGAGAAUUCCGGUUCGUACGAAGUUCGUUACGAAAUAGUGUGGUUCGUGUAUUGCAUAGUUGUAGAGAUUGGAUUUCCCUGAAAACCCAUAAAAUGACACCUCCCACCGUAUUAUGAUGUUCCCCAAGUGUUGGACUCAAUCCGAUAUCGAUUGGUGUAUCGCAUAGUUUUAGCUAUUGGAUUUCAGUCAAACGACACCAAAUGACUCCUUCCAUCAUAUUAUGUUGUUCCCCAGGUUUUGGACUCAAUCCGAUAUCGAUUGGUCCAUGAAAUUGGACAAUUCAAGUUCGUACGAAGUUCGUUAUGAAAUGGAGUGGUUUGUGUAUUUCAUAGUUGUAGAGAUUGGAUUUCACUCAAAACCCAUCAAAUGACUCCUCCCAACGUAUUAUGAUGUUCCCCAAGUUUUGGACUCAAUCAGAUAUCGAUUGGUCCAUGAAAUUGGACAAUUCAGGUUCGUACGAAGUUCGUUCUGAAAUGGAGUGGUUAGUGUAUUGCGUAGUUUUAGCCAUUGGAUUACACUCAAAAGUCAUCAAAUGACUCCUCCCAUCAGAUUAUGUUCUUCCCCAAGUUUUGGACUCAAUCCGAUAUCGAUUGGUCCAUGAAAUUGGACAAGUCAGGUUCGUACGAAGCUCGUUAUGAAAUGGAGUGGUUGGUGUAUUGCAUAGUUUUAGCCAUUGGAUUUCACUCAAAAGGCACCAAAUGACUGCUCCCAUCAUAUUACGAUGUUCCCCAAGUUUCGGACUCAAUCCGAUAUCGAUUGGUCCAUGAAAUUGGACAAUUCAGGUUCUUACGAAGUUCGUUCUGAAAUGUUGUGUUCAGUGUAUUGCAUAGUUUUAGCCAUUGAAAUGCACUCAAAAAUCACCAAAUGACUCCUCCCAUCAUAUUAUGAUGUUCCCUAAGUUUUGGACUCAAUCAGAUAUCGAUUGGUCCAUGAAAUUGGACAAUUCAGGAUCGUACGAAGUUCGUUAUGAAAUGGGGUGGUUACUGUAUUGCAUAGUUUAAGCCAUUGGAUUUCACUCAAAUGUCACCAAAUGACUCCAACCAUCAUAUUAUGAUGUUCCCCAAGUUUUGGCCUUAAUCCGAUAUCGAUUGGUCCAUGAAAUUCGACAAUUCAGGUUCGUACGAAGUUCAUUAUGGAAUGGAGUGGUUGGCGUAUUGCAUAGUUGUAGAGAUUGGAUUUCACUCAAAAUCCACCAAAAGACUCCGUCCACCGUAUUACGAUGUUCCCCAAGUUUUGGGCUCAAUCCGAUAUCGAUUGGUCCAUGAAAUUAGACAAUUCAGGUUCAUAUGAAGUUCGUUCUAAAAUGGAUUGGUUAGUGUAUUGCGUUGUGUUAGCAAUUAGAUUUCACUCAAAAGUCACCAAAUGACUCCUCCCACCAUAUUAUGAUGUUUCAAAAGUUUUGGACUCAAUCCGAUAUCGAUUGGUCCAUGAAAUUGGACAAUUCAGGUUCGUACGAAGUUCGUUGUGAAAUGGAGUGGUUAGUGUAUUGCAUAGUUGUAGAGAUUGGAUUUCACUCAAAAGCCACCAAAUGACUCCAUCCACCGUAUUACGAUGUUCCCCAAGUUUUGGGCUCAAUCCGAUAUCGAUUGGUCCAUGAAAUUAGACAAUUCAGUUCAUACGAAGUUCGUUCUAAAAUGGAUUGGUUAAUGUGUUGCAUUGUGUUAGCAAUUAGAUUUCACUCAAAAGUCACCAAAUGACUCCUCCCACCAUAUUAUGAUGUUUCAAAAGUUUUGGACUCAAUCCGAUAUCGAUUGGUCCAUGAAAUUGGACAAUUCAGGUUCGUACGAAGUUCGUUGUGAAAAUGGAGUGGUUAGUGUAUUGCAUAGUUGUAGAGAUUGGAUUUCACUCAAAAGCCACCAAAUGACUCCAUCCACCGUAUUACGAUGUUCCCCAAGUUUUGGGCUCAAUCCGAUAUCGAUUGGUCCAUGAAAUUAGACAAUUCAGGUUCAUACGAAGUUCGUUCUAAAAUGGAUUGGUUAAUGUAUUGCAUUGUGUUAGCAAUUAGAUUUCACUCAAAAGUCACCAAAUGACUCCUCCCACCAUAUUAUGAUGUUUCAAAAGUUUUGGACUCAAUCCGAUAUCGAUUGGUCCAUGAAAUUGGACAAUUCAGGUUCGUACGAAGUUCGUUAAGAAAUGGAGUGGUUAGGGUAUUGCAUAGUUGUAGGGAUUGGAUUUCACUCAAAGGCCACGAAAUGACUCCUCCCACCGUAAUAUGAUGUUCCCCAAGUAUUGGCCUGAAUCCGAUAUCGAUUGGUCCAUGAAAUUGGACAAUUCAGGUUCGUACGAAGUUCGUUCUGAAAUGGAGUGCUUAGUGUAUUGCAUAGUGUUAACCAUUGGACUUCACUCAAAGGCCACGAAAUGACUCCUCCCACCGUAUUAUGAUGUUUCCCAACUAUUGGCCUGAAUCCGAUAUCGAUUGGUCCAUGAAAUUGGACAAUUCAGGUUCGUAUGAAGUUCGUUCUGAAAUGGAGUGCUUGGUGUAUUGCACAGUUGUAGAGAUUCGAUUUCAUUCAAAACCCGUCAAAUGACUCCUCCCACCGUAUUAUGAUGUUCCCCAAGUUUUGGACUCAAUCCGAUUUCGAUCGGUCCAUGAAAUUGGACAAUUCAGGUUCGUACGAAUUCGUUCCGAAAUGAAGUGGGUAGUGUAUUGCAUAGUUUUAGCCAUUGGAUUUCAGUCAAAAGACACCAAAUGACUCCUCCCAUCAUAUGAUGAUGUUCCCCAAGUUUUGGACUCAAUCCGAUAUCGAUUGGUCCAUUAAAUUGGACAAUUCAGGUUCAUACGAAGUUCGUUCUGAAAUGGAUUGGUUAGUGUAUUGCAUAGUUUUAGCCAUUGGAUUUCAGUCAAAAGACACGAAAUGACUCCUCCCACCGUAUUAUGAUGUUCCCCAAGUUUUGGACUCAAUCCGAUGUCGAUUGGUCCAUGAAAUUGGACAAUUCAAGUUCUUACGAAGUUCGUUCUGAAAGGGAGUGGUUGGUGUAUUGCAUAGUUUUAGCCAUUGGACUUCACUCAAAAGGCACCAAAUGACUCCUCCCAUCAUAUUAUGAUGUUCCCCAAGUUUCGGACUCAAUCCAUUGGUCCAUGAAAUUGGACAAUUCAAGUUUGUACGAAGUUCGUUCUGAAAUGGAGUGGUUAGUGUAUUGCAUAGUUUUAGCCAUUGGAUUUCACUCAAAAGGCACCAAAUGACUCAUCCCAUCAUAUUAUGAUGUUCCCCAAGUUUCGGACUCAAUCCGAUAUCGAUUGGUCCAUGAAAUUGGACAAUUCAGGUUUGUACGAAGUUCGUUCUGAAAUGGAGUGGUUAGUGUAUUGCAUAGUUUUAGCCAUUGGAUUUCACUCAAAAGUCACCAAAUGACUCCUCCCUUGAUAUGAUGAUGUUCCCCAAGUUUUGGACUCAAUCCGAUAUCGAUUGGUCCACGAAAUUGGACAAUUCAGGUUUGAACGAAGUUCGUUCUGAAAUGGAGUGGUUCGUGUAUUGCAUAGUUUUAGCCAUUGGAUUUCAGUCAAAAGACACCAAAUGACUCCUCCCUCCGUAUUAUGAUGUUCCCCAAGUUUUGGACUCAAUCCGAUAUCGAUUGGUCCAUGAAAUUGGACAAUUCAAGUUCUUACGAAGUUCGUUCUGAAAGGGAGUGGUUGGUGUAUUGCACAGAUUUUGCCAUUGGAUUUCAUGAAAAGACACCGAAUCACUCUUCCCAUCAUAUUAUGAUGUUCCCCAAGUUUUGGACUCAACCCGAUAUUGAUUGAUCCAUGAAAUUAGAGAAUUACGGUUCGUACGAAGUUCGUUACGAAAUAGUGUGCUGGUGUAUUGCAUAGUUGUAGAGAUUGGAUUUCACUGAAAACCCAUAAAAUGACACCUCCCACCGUAUUAUGAUGUUCCCCAUGUUUUGGACUCAAUCCGAUAUCGAUUGGUCCAUGAAAUUGGACAAUUCAGGUUCGUAUGAAGUUCGUUAUGAAAUAGAGUGGUCGUUGUAUUGGAUAGUUGUAGAGAUUGGAUUUCACUCAAAACCCACCAAAUGACUCCUCC
rnacentral:lncRNA from 1 species